UUUCAGCCAAUGAGAGAGCUACCAGAGUGAGCUGGUGAGCUGGGGGAAAUAAGUGGCCUGACUUCACUCUCCUCCUUCCCUCCUUCAAAUCUCUUGACAGAGUUCCCUACGAGCCAAAGCCACAGAGUUCAACCUCCUGGAGCCUAGCACAGAAGAUAAAGGUGGAGAUGGAAUUUGAAUGAACAAAUGAAAGAGUUGUAUCAUAUGCAGCCAAUCCAAUACAAUUAGAAUUUGCAUUAUCUCUUUAUGACACUGAGCAAAUAAAUACCUAAGCGUCAAACCAUUGCAAAAUGCCAGCCACUCCAGAAGGCACUGAAAACUCAAUGCCCAGACCUUACUUUCAAGCUACUCAUACUAAUAAGAAGAUCAAAUUAACAGAAGACAUAUACAGUGUGUUGCAUUUGGUGCAAUGCAGGAAAGAGCCUCGCUGGACUUGUGAUGGCUUGGAGAAGGGUAGUUAUCUGCAUGAUUUCUCAGCACAAGGUGGCAGCUGGCAAGGGAAAUUGCACUGACUGCAGUCCUUCAAGAAGAGAGAGAGAUGAGUCCUUGGGACUGGGCAUUUUGUUCCAUGAAGAGAACUGAAAUGGGGUGGGGAAUGGGAAUGGACUAAAUGGGCAAGGCAAAUGAAAGAAAGAUUGAUGUUGAUCUGAGGGGUACCUGACUCAUUCACAUAUAUUUCCCCUAAAAGACAGGCUACAAAGAAACUGAAAUCUACACACAAUGAAGGGUUGGAAUGAAGAAAGAAUGAAACAUUUUCAAGGGUAGUUCUCACUAGCUACUCUAUCUCCAAAUAUUUGAAGCAAUCAUUUUUUUUUUCCUAGGGAGUUUCCGUUGUGACUCAGCAGGUUAAGAACCCGAAAUAGUGUCUGUCAGGAUGAGGGUUCCAUCCCUGGCUUCACUCAGUGGGUUAAGGAUCCAGCAUUGCCAUGAGCUGUGGCGUAGGAUCCCAUGUUGCUGUGGCUGUGGCAUAGGUUGGCAGCUGCAGCUCCAAUUCGACCCCUAGCCUUGGAACUUCCAUAUGCUGCAGGUGUGGGCCUAAAAAAAAAACAAAAUUGUCUCUUCAUCUAAUCCAGGGUACUCAUUUAGGAAAUGUAACUAAGUUCUCAGAAAGAAAAUAUCAUAGUAAGAACUUGCCACUUUGUCAAAUUUAUCACCUAAAAUUUUCUUGCACUCUGAUUCUCUAAGGAGAAGCUUUUUAUAAUAAGUAGACAGCUGCUUGUGUUUUUGAUUAGAAAUACUUUGGAGACAAGGAAAGGGGAGUAUAGGGAUCCUGUGGGUCUUUUUCCCAUUUGUUAAAAAAAUGUAAGUUAAAUACCCACUCAAAGAGUUUAACUCAGCUCCAGUCCUAUGCUUGCCAUACAAUUGUCUUUGCUUUGUAAGCUUUAUUGUGACUUUAUCAAUUAUUGACAAUUUAUUUGAUAGGUCUCUGGCCCCUUUCUUAUAGCAGAUGUUUCAUUUAAUGGACAAGUUUCUGGGAGACAAGUAGAACCAUUCACCUGAGACUGUGUGGGUACUGGCAUACUUGGUCCAUAAUAUUAGGUUUAUGGAAGUACUGAAAAUAGCAUGAUAUACAGGCACAUUUUAUAUAUGUCAUAGUCUUUUCCAGGAGAAAAGGAUAACAGUGAAUUUUCUCAGAUAGCUAUAUUUUAUUCAUGCACAUAUUCAACAAAAAUUGAAUGAGCACUUAUAAAGGGCAGAUGUUAAAAACAAAAUAGAGCCCUCUUAGAGAUCACAAUGCAGUGUGAGAGAUGUCCAAAGAUUUUAUAACUUAUAAUAAGCAUAAUUAAGGAAAAAUAAAACACAUAAUGAGAAGGUAUAGCA
rnacentral:lncRNA from 1 species